GACGAACGCUGGCGGCGUGCUUAACACAUGCAAGUCGAACGGAAAGACCCUGCUUUUGUGGGGUGCUCGAGUGGCGAACGGGUGAGUAACACGUGAGUAACCUGCCCUUGACUUUGGGAUAACUUCAGGAAACUGGGGCUAAUACCGGAUAGGAGCUCCUGCUGCAUGGUGGGGGUUGGAAAGUUUCGGCGGUUGGGGAUGGACUCGCGGCUUAUCAGCUUGUUGGUGGGGUAGUGGCUUACCAAGGCUUUGACGGGUAGCCGGCCUGAGAGGGUGACCGGCCACAUGGGGACUGAGAUACGGCCCAGACUCCUACGGGGGGCAGCAGGGGGGAAUAUUGCACAAGGGGCGGAAGCCUGAUGCAGCAACGCCGGGGGGGGGAUGACGGCCUUCGGGUUGUAAACCGCUUUCGCCUGGGACGAAGCGGGAGGGACGGUAAUGGGUAAAGAAGCACCGGCUAACUACGU
rnacentral:rRNA from 1 species